GGACACGCUGGCUGCUUCCGAGAGCUGUGCGGAGCCAGGACAGAUACGGAAACUGCCUUAGCCCCACUGCACCACCAACCGGGAGCCACCUGAGGCUGCAGAAGAACAUCCCUGUUUCGCUCCUGCUCAUCCCCUCUCCCCCGGCGACAGGGCAGGGAAAUGGCUGCCGUGGAGCCAGUUCAGCAGCUGGUGACCUUUGAGGAGGUGGCUGUGUAUUUCACCAGGGAAGAGUGGGCUCUGCUGGACCCCACUCAGAGAGCCCUCUACAGAGAUGUCAUGCAGGAGAACUAUGAGAAUGUGACCUCAUUGGCAGGUGAUGGGAUGGUGAGCGAGGAUGCAGAACAGAAUUCUCAGCAGGAAGAUGCUGAGCAAGUGGAAUGACACAAAACAUUAUCACAAAGAUCUAAAGGGAAUGUGUCCAGGAGUCAUGGGCAGGGAAAGACCUGUGAAAGUCAGCACAGGCCAGGAAGACAGCUGGGAAACCAAGCAGGGGAGAAAGUGGAUAAAUCCAGUAAGUGUCAGGGAACUCAAAAGGGCCUCAAGGAAAGCACAGCCCAGCAGAGGAUCCCCAGAGGAGAGACAAACAACACAUGCAUUGAGUACGGGGAAACCUUCAGUUGCCACAAUGGCCUUAUUGGACUGGAGAGACUCCACACAGGAGAGAGCCCCUAUGAAUGCUGGGCAUGUUGUAAAACCUUCAGUCCGAGCGCAAACCUUUUUACACAUCAGAAAAUCCACAAGGAAUGAGCACCUAUGAAUGCUGGGCAUGCAGUGAAACCUUCCCUCUGCGCUUACUCCUUAUCGCAUAUCAGAAGAGCCACACAGGACAGAGAACAUGUAGGUGCUUCUAGUGUGGGAAAAGCGUCCAUGAAAGCCCAGCUCUUUGUCAGCAGAGAGUCCAUCAGGAAGAUAAAUACCCCAAAAACUUGUCUAGAGCUGACAAAAGAUUGUUUUGCUUCAGUACAUUUGCUCAGUGCCACAUAGUGACCUUUAAGGCUGUUUGCACCAUUUGUGUCACUCUCGGGUCCCCCAGAUAAUUUGCCCACUGUUGCCUUUUGCAGCUUCCCCUUCCCUGGGGUGAAUCCCAUGGUCCUUUCUAUCAACUCCUUUGUCCUAUGAGUCCUACCAGGAAUGUCCAUCAGCCACAGGUGGGAGAGAUAAGGAUGACCUCAACUAACUACAUGGGUCUCCACAAGGAUUUUCCGCAACUGUAGCUGGUUUGAGUUAGAUAUCCCGUUGUAAAAACCCACAACUUCCUGUAAUAAAGGCAUAGCCCAUUUAUAGUGGCUGGGGUACCUAGCAUGUUUCCUCAUGACCUCAUGACCUCCAUCAUUUUCCUAGUCUAAAGAAACCCAUCGUAUCUCAUUUCUACUGUUCCUCCCAUUGCUUUCGAGUCACCAAGUUCCCCUCUUGGGACGGGUUGUCUCAUUCCCACUUGCACUGCCUGGAGCUGAACAGCAAUUCUUCUGUAUACCCUUUUUAUAAUUUAAAAUCUUUUAAAAUAUAACAAAGAGCAGGAACAGAGGCAGGAAGAAAAGUGUAGUUUCAGUCUCAGUGACACCUGAAGGAGAUCCCUGCCUUCCCCAUCACCACAGCAGUGUUACCUUCUGUCAGAGGCAUGUGGAGUUUAUUUUCUUCACAUCCUACCUUCCACCUCCCAAGCAUCAUAUGAUGUAGUCAUAGGCAGUGGUGAGCUGGACCCGUGGGAACCGGCUGCUAAGUUUUGAAGCAGUUUUAGAACCGGUUGUUAAAAAUUGUUAGGAAAAAAAAUGUUAUAAAAUGAUCUUAAAAUGAAUAAUCUUAAUCUUAUAAAAUGGUGUAGAAAAUAAUAGGGCAGAGGUCGGCAACCUGCGGCACGCCUGCCAAAGGCAGCACGCGAGCCGAUUUUUACUGGCAUGCUGCUGCCGGCUGGGGUCCG